rnacentral:lncRNA from 1 species
ACGCACACGGGCACACACGCGCGCACGGGAUCCUGCUCCGCUCCGCUCCGCGGCUCCCCCGCCCCGCAGAGCUCCGCGAUCAGCACCCGGGACAGCGCCACCGCCCACGUGCAGGGGGCGGGGUCCGGGCGGGGCUGGCGCCUCGGCGUCUCCCGGGAGUGUCCCGUCCAGCCGCCGAGCAGGGUGCUUGAGUGUCUCUGCAGAAAAGACUCUAGGACCCCGCCACCAUGUUCCCGGAGCCCCCAACCCCGGGGCCUCCAUCGCCCGACACGCCUCCCGACUCCAGUCGCAUCAGCCACGGCCCAGUGCCCCCCUGGGCCCUGGCCACCAUCGUGCUGGUCUCAGGCCUCCUCAUCUUCAGCUGCUGUUUCUGUCUCUACCGGAAGAGCUGUCGGAGGCGGACAGGCAAGAAGAGCCAGGCCCAAGCCCAGGUCCACCUUCAGGAAGUGAAGGGGCUGGGCCAGAGUUACAUAGACAAGGUGUGGCCCAGCCCAGCCCCUCCACCUGGCCCCUUCUCGCACCCUGCUCCUCUCAAUGGCCCAGCUGGUCCCAGUCCCUGCUCCCUUCCGUCCUAUAGGAACCCACCUUACUGGCUCAUCCUCCCUGUGUGUCUAGCCCUCAACUGGACUCUGGGGACCCGGAGAUGGAACAGAAGUAGUUGCUAUUCCCAAGAACUUCCCAGUCUGGUGGGAGAGUCAGGCACUGACACAGACACUCACCACACAGGGUAAUAUGUGCCAUACUACAGGGUCUCAUAGGAGCACAGAAAAGGCAUCCCACUGUAUAGAAACCUACAGAAACAUAUAAAUAUUUGGCUCUGGGCCGGGUGCGGUGGCUCACGCCUGUAAUCCUAGCACUUGGGAGGCUGAGGUGGACAGAUUGCCUGAGGUCAUGAAUUCAAGACUAGCCUGGGCAACAUGAUGAAACCCUGUCUCUACUAAAAAUACAAAAGCCAGCCAUGGUGGCAUGGUAUAAUCCCAGCUACUCGAGAGGCUGAGGCACUGAAACCGGGAGGUGGAGGCUGCAGUGAGCUGUGAUCGUGCCACUGCACUCCAGCCUGGGUGACAGAGCGAGAC